rnacentral:lncRNA from 1 species
GUCUGCCAAAGUGCUUGGAUUACUGGUGUGAGCCACCACACCCGGCCAACACCAGCAAUUUCUAUCAUUAGUAGGAGCAAUGAUACUAACAGACUGGCUUACAGGACCGAAUUUUAAAGUAAUCCCCAUAGGCUUCAGUGCAUUUCAAGGCCAGGUACGUGCCAUUCUAAACAACAAGGGCAGCAACUGGGCCAAAUGGAAAGAGUGUGGGUUGAUGGGACUCACUUUCACACUUGAUUCUAUGUACCAUCUUGCAUUUACCUAUACUUGAUCCUGUGUUUUCAGGGAUCUAUCACAACCCCACUGUGAUAAAGGAUGAAAGGAUGGAGAACACAGAUAUGGGAUGGUUUGUAUUAGGUUGGUGCAAAAGUAACUGACAUUACUUUCAAUGGCAAAAACUGCAAUUACUUUUGCUCCAACCUACUAUGUCUUGAAAGCAUUGGGGAGAACCCAGGGUUGCCAAAUUGCAUGAGUUCAGGAAGCUUCAUUCCUUCAGGAAGUUUCCUCUAGGGGGCACCACUCACAGAGCUCCGCACUAUGACCCCAUCCUGGAGUUGGGCCAUCCGGUAGCCGUCCCAACCCAUAGGCUACUGUGCAAGAGCUGAGAAGCCUGCCUGAGAAAACAAACUUCCUGCAUCAGAGCACCAGAAAGCCAAACACUUGAUCUCUAACACCUGUGUUCACUGUGAGAAAAUUUACAACGAGAAGAGAAAGGGCAGCCACAUAGACAUUUCUGGAUCGAUUUCUUUAAAAGUCAUCCCUUUCGUGGCCAUCAAGGAGUCCCAAGACUCCCUCUAAGUUUUCUCUAAUAUCUGUUAAAUCCUUUCCAAAAAAGAAAAAAAAAAACCCAUCAGAAUUAUCUAGGCCUCAGCAUGCUCCUUCCCUUCUAAUUCUUGGCAGUACUAUAAGACAGGCAUUAUAAGGGAACGAUUAAGAAAACAGAUGUAACCAUUAGGCACCAUACAAUUCUAGAGGAUUAAUAAUGUUAACUUUUGCAACACAUAGGUGGUUUUUUGGUGUUUGUUCUUAUAAUGUCCUAUUUACAUCACAUAUUUAAACUUGAGAGCAUAUUAGAAUGAGUUGGGUACAACCUCCUUUUGUUUCUUCACUCUCACAGCUGUUUGAAUGCCUGCUUGUGUGAGGCACUGUGCUAAAUGCGGCGGGGGGUAAAAUGGUGAGGACAAAGCAAAGGAGUCUGUGCUCUCCUGGAGCCCAGAGUCUAGCGUGGUUUAGUUUGGGCUUCCUCACAACAUGGUGGCUUUCAAGCAGACGGACUCCAAAAGCAAGAUUCCCAGCGAACAAGGAGAAAGCUGCAUGGCCUUUUAUGACCUCAUCUCAGAAGUCACACAUCAUUCUACUGGUUACGAGUGAGUCCUUGAUCCACUGAGAUCCAAGAGGAUGAGACAAAGUCCCCAUAUCUCAAUGAAAGAUCGUCAAGGUCACACUGAAGAAGACCAUGUGGGAUGGGAGAGAGACAUAGUGGUCACAUUUGAGAAAGGCCAUCUGACAGAUGGGAGAAGCUGAAAGGGCUGCAGUAAGCAAAUACACUUUGGACGAAAAUUUUUCUUAAGAUCUAUCUUUAGUACACAGAUUUCUAUGAAUUAGCUCCAGUUAUAUUUAUUUUCAACCUUGUCAUUACAGAAGUAACAUAUUUCAAAACACUUGACAGUUUACAAAGUACUCUUAAUUGAUCAUCAUAAUAAGCCUGCUAAUUAUUAGGACAAAAUAUUAUCACCCACACUGUUUAGACAAGAAAACUAAGACCCAAAUUCUCAUAGCCAAAAAAGGAGCAUGUUCAGGAUCUGAGUCCAGAAUUAACUGUUCUUUCUACAGAAACAAACCAUCUAUUGAAACAUGCCAUGGCAAUGAAAAAUCACAAUUUAUGGUCUGAUGGUCUUUGUAUCCUUUUUAGGAUAUAAAGCAUUUGAAUGGUCUAUGGCUUUGAGUGUUAGCUUCAUCAUUUAUAUGAGAAUAUGAAACAGCCAUUGUUGUAAAUAGCAUCCAUUAUGGACUGAACAUAAAGACUAUUUCCAAAUUGCUUCCAACAUUUUUUGUCCUAUCUCUGCAAAUAAUUAAGGGUUAGCAACUUUAAAAUUAAUUCUAGUAGAAGAGCUAUGCAUCUGGCUUAAUGGGCACAAUAAAUCAAUCCCAUGAGAUAAAAUCUAUUUUAAGAACUCUUCUGAAAAGGUGCUAUUUCAAAGAAGGCAUUGUAUUAUUUUCUCUCUCUUUGGAGCAGCAGUCCAAGCUCUCAUAUUCCAACCUCUGAGCAACUUUUAGCAUCAACUGUGAACAUGUUAGAAGUACAAAAAAGCAUAAUCUCAGGCCCCAUAUUCCAGGUCUACUGCCAUGAAUUGAAUGGUGGCUCCCUAAAAGAUACCUCUAUGUCCUUAUCCCUGGAACCUGUGCAUGAAUCUUAUUUGGAAAAUAAGUGGGGGUGUGUCUUUGCAGAUGUAAUGAAGAAUCUCAAGAUGAGAUGAGACCAUCCUGGAUUAUCUAGGAAGGUCCUAAAUCCAAUAGCAAAUGUCUUUGUAACAGAAAGGCAGAGGGACAUUUGAGAAAGAGAAGAGGAGGAGGCCACGUAAAAACAAAGGCAGAGAUGAAAAUGAUGCAGCUGAGGCCAUGGAAUCCCUGGAGCCACCAGGAGCUGGAAGAGGCAAGGAAGGAUCCUCCCCUGGAGCCUUUAAAGGGAGCAUGCCUUGGCAACACCUUGAUUUUGGCUUCUGGCUUCCAGAAGCUAGAGAAUAAGUUUCUGUUGCUUUAAACAUCAACAUUACAGUGAUUUGUUAUGGCAGCCCUAGGAAAUUAAUAUACCUAACUGAGUUAGAAACCAGGGUAGUACGCCUAGCAAUGAGUACUUAAACAAAUCCUCCUGGGGAUUCUGCUGUACACUCAAGCUUCGGAUACACUGGUCUAGAGUAAUUGAAUUGUGGCUGGCUGAAGACAUGGGUAUUUUUUCCCCAGGACAGCAGAAGCCUCCCCUGCACCUGCAAAUAGACCAGUGCAGGCAUUGAACAUCUGGGGCAAGACUAGCGUCUCCCAGCAGAACGUAUGACCUGAAACUGGUCCCGAGGAAACAUCAGAUGGACCACGUUGAGCAUCACACUGCAGAAUGUAGGGCUGCAUUCUUCCAAACUGUUGGGACGAUGAAAGUCAGGGAAAGACUGAGGAAAUGCUCCAAACUGGGGCAGACUGCAAAGAUGUGACAAUUAAAUGCAAUGUGUAACUCGGGGUUUCUGCACUUUAGCUCUUUCAAGAUUUUUGACUGGAUAAUUCUUGGGGUCUGUCUUGCACACUGCACGGUGUCUGGCAUCAUCUCUGGUGUCUAAGCCCUAGAUGUCAAUACCAAUUCCCACUUGUGUGAUCAAAUGUCUCCAGACAUUACCAAAUGUACCAUGGGUGGGGUCAGAGGGGAGUGCAAAGUCAGCUCCAGAUGAGAACCAUUGGUGUAACUGGAUGGAAUCCUGGGCCAGAUAUGAAAAAGAGACAUCACUAGGACAGCUGGACAGAUCUGAGGUUAAUGAAGAUUUCUCACUGUUGCAGAAGGUAUUUUUAAGAAGGGAAAGGUAGGAGGGCUAGAAAAACCCUGAACGGGGUGUGGAGAUUGGACAUUGCAUCAAUGUAUUGAUGCACUGGGUUUUGUUUCAGUGCUCAUUUCUUGACUUGUGGGUUUGCAUGGUGGUUAUGCAGGAGGGUGUACUUGGGGAGGCAGAUAUGAUGGAGCACUGAGGGUUGAAGGGACAUCACAUAGAUACAUACAUAGGGAGAUAGAGUGUACGCAGUGAAAUGUGAAUAGCUGGGGAUCAGCAUGAGGGGGUAUGGAAGUUCUUUGUUCUGUUCGUGCAACUUUUCUGUACAUUUAAAAUAACCCCAGAAUAAAAUAUUUCCAUUAAUUUACCUGAUUAAAUUGUACUUGUGGAUUUAUUUGCACAACCAAUUAAGGAUGAUGGUGGAAAUGGUGGAGAUGCAGAUGAUGCUAGUAUUGGUCAAUGUUCAUUUUUGUCUUCAUUAUGUGCCAGGCAGCAAGCUAAGUACUUUAUGGCUAUUAGUCAGUGCUGUCCUCAAAUCAUCCCUAUGGUGGAGGAAUUAGUAUCCUUCUACUAUAGAUGAAGAAACAGAAGUUCUGAGAAGGUAGGUGACUUACUCACAACCACACAAUAAGUAGCUGGUAGAGUUGGGGUGGAAGCCCAUUCACAUUGGAUUAUGGGACCCAUGCUCUAAGCCGUUAGGUCAUAAGGGAGACUUUUUCGUCGUUCCUGUGUCCACAGAGGUGGAGGAUGAACUAGGCCCUCGGUAAGUGAGGGAAGGAGUGCACAGGCAGAGCUCUGCACAGAAUGACAGCAAGGUGCACAAGUCAUCCAUAUGAUUUUAUACUUGUGAAUUCAAGUAUAAGGAGCAACUUGUUAGACUUCAGUCUGUCUCUAAAAGCCAAAUAUAGGGUGGCAAUGGCUGCAUUCAGUUGAAAAAUACCCUGGAUCUAGUAAAGGAAGGAAGGUGUUUAUCCUCUUGGUACUUUUUUUUUUUUAAUCCCUAAUUUCAGGCAUGUGCAGCUUUGGUUUGGAAUGAUUUGACUCAGAUAGACAAGUGGUGGGUUUAGGUGAGCUUUUUUAGGUGAGAGUGGUUGGAAUUAUAGAGGUGAUAUGGGAGAAGGUGAUGUGAAGGGUAAUUGCUGCUUAAUAAUUGGGAAGAGAAAGUCUGUAAAGAGCUUAUCAUUUAAUGUGUUCAAGACUUGAGAUCCAGAAGAACUGCAUCCCAGGGCUUUGAGGGUUCUUGCUGAUGCGAUCUCGGUGCUAAAAAAUCAUGAACAUGGAUAGGGAACGCACAACACUGAAAGUCACUGUUGGCUUAAGUCAGAGAGGUUUGGAACUCUUAAUGCACAGGCAGGAGAAGCCAGAUGUCAGAAAUCCAGGAAGACAUGAAGGGGCAGGGAAAGGGGGAGUCCACGAUUUCUGGGAAAAUUUCAGGCAGUUAGGAACUGGUGGAGGCUAAAGAGAUGUGCUCACUCCAGAUGGCAAGGAGGGAACAUCAACUUUAGAAAUUAGAAAAAGGUACAUUUGCUAAAAUGUGAAAAAAGCAAGCAACUAUUAAAUAGGUAGUUGUUACCAUCUAUUGAGGACACAAUGAAAUAAUAAGCAUGAAGUACUUAGCAUGUUUCCUGGAACAAGAAAGCAAUAAUUGCAGAAUUUAUUAAAACUUUAA